rnacentral:rRNA from 1 species
AACUUUCAGCAACGGAUGCUCUGUGGCUCUCGCAUCGAUGAAGAACGCAGCGAAAUGCGAUAAGUAAUGUGAAUUGCAGAAUUCAGUGAAUCAUCGAAUCUUUGAACGCACCUUGCGCUCCUUGGUAUUCCGAGGAGCAUGCCUGUUUGAGUGUCAUGA